GGUUUUAUAUUUUAUGUUAAAAUAUUGGAUUGCAAAUCUAAUGAUGGGUUAUUCCUAAAACUU
rnacentral:tRNA from 1 species